rnacentral:rRNA from 1 species
AUGAUCGAUGACGAGGACGGAGACGGCGCGAUGCAGCCGCUGGGGAGGAGGAGAAGGAGGCAGGCCGGCGACGUGGUGGUGGCGACGACGGGCGACGGCAUCGGGUCGAGGAGGAGCUCGAGGAGGCCGGCGGCGAUGCUUCCGGCGAGGGGCGUUCCGAGCGACAAUGAUGGGAUCCAAGGGCGACGGGGUCGAGCGCUGGGCAUCGGCGGCGUGUUUCCGGCGACGGCGCGGGUGCAAGGCGUCGGGGGCGGCGGAGGAGCUCGAGGAGGCUGGCGGCGAUGCUUCUGGCGAGGGGCGUUCCGAGCGACGGCGAUGGGAUCCAAGGGCGAUGGGGUUGACGGGUGGGCAUCAGCGGCGUAUUUCCGGCGACGGCGCGGGUGCAAGCCACCGGGAGGGUCUCACCGUGCACGCCGGCCGCUGCCAGCCAUGGACACCUUCUUCCUCUCGCACGGCUCGCCGGCGAUCUGCAUCGACGAGAGGAUCCCGGCGCACGGCUUCUUCAAGUCGUGGCUGCCAGCGGCGGUGGCGGGCGCGCAGGCGCCGCACGCCGUCCUGGUGGUGUCGGCUCACUGGGAGACCGACACUCCGGCCGUCAACGUCGUCCGCGGCACCAACGACACCAUCCACGACCUGCAGGGCCUCCCCUCCGAGAUGUACAAGCUGAGGUACCCUGCGCCGGGCGCGCCGGACCUGGCCAUGAGGACCAAGGAGCUCCUGGAGGGCGCCGGGUUCGGGCCGGUGAGCGAGGAGCACGGCCGCGGGCUCGACCACGGCGCCUGGGUGCCGCUGAUGCUCGAUUCAUGCGCGCAUGCAUCUCUUCUCAACCAACCCUGCCCCCGGCCGUGUGUUAGUCGCCUCGCCGCUGCUCUCCGGCGCCGGGAUGAAUCAAUCGCCGCCGUCGCGAUUUCUCCCAACCUCGUCCAUGAUUUGACGCUCGCCAACAACUUACAGAGCUUAGUCGCGCUCUCGACCGCACGGCCAACCCAACAAGCAGAGCAGGGCAGAGGAACCUUCCGCGCGCGCGUCGUCGUCUUCUCCGCCUCCGGCAUGGCUCCGCCGUGGAGCAAAAUCCGACUCCUCCUGCUCCAAAAGCCUACUUCCAUCCACACGCGGUCCAGUCUCACCCCCCGACCGCCGAAUCCACCCCGCCGCGCCUACAGACCUCCCUUCCUCGUCGCCGACCGACCGGCCAACAAAGCCGUCGCCGUCGAUUCCCACCGAAAGCAACAUCCUUUUCUCCGAUUCCAGGCCCACCCACACCUUGGGUCCUCGCUUCCGACUCCAAUUUCACCCGAGAGCCGAUAA